GACGCCAUACUGCUAGCUGUCAUCGCGUGGACACCUUGCGGUCACUUCGAUUUGAGGCGGAGCCGUGCGUGUGUUGUGUGGGAACGGUGUCGUGUAAAUCAGCCGCAACUUUAACAGGGCUCUCUCCGUC